GGUAACCUACCUAUAAGACUGGGGAUAACUUCGGGAAACCGGAGCUAAUACCGGAUAACAUUUGGAACCGCAUGGUUCUAAAGUGAAAGAUGGUUUUGCUAUCACUUAUAGAUGGACCCGCGCCGUAUUAGCUAGUUGGUAAGGUAACGGCUUACCAAGGCAACGAUACGUAGCCGACCUGAGAGGGUGAUCGGCC
rnacentral:rRNA from 1 species